GAGCACACACGGGCUGACUUCUUCCUUCUAAGAGGAGCUUCAUUUAUUUUUUUAUUUUCUUUGUCCCUGAAAAAGAAAAUGGGAAGGUGGCAAGGCAGGGGUGCAAAUCCCCUCUAAACAAAUGCCUCCGAUGUCAUCACCGUGGCUGCUCAGGCACUCGACCCUUUCUCUUCCGUUCCCUGGAUCCCGCUGAAGGCUAAAGAAGCCGGGGAGCUGAUGGCUGCUGAGGACUGCUCCUGCAGGGACCCUCGAUUCUCGUCGCUCCCUUAAAAAAAUGGGUUACGUCUACUUCCAUGUAUUUCCAAACUCUGAGACCUGUGAAGAGGUGAACGUUCUCCACCUGGACUUCGAUGAGCUGCUGUCCCUUCCUGGUUUAUGCCCAAACUCCCGGCUUCCCAGCCUGCUCACUGCUGCCAGCCCAGCUCCCCGAAGACCCUCCCCAGAGGUUCCAGGCAUGUGCUGGGAGGGCCCACCUCCAGAGCUGCUCUUGAGCCCCCCCUCGAACGUGGCUGUGGGGUCAGUCAGAGAGGGAUACAGCAUGAAGCCAACUGACCACACCAACUGGCGGGUGACGUCUUUGGAAUCUCAAAUCCAGUAACCUGCUCUGCAAGUAUUAAUACAAACUACAGAUACUUUUUUAGGGGGUGUUUUAAAGGCUUAAGUCCUAAAACAUCAAUUUCUCAAUGACCUUUCCAGAUUACAUUAUAAUGACAUGAAGCCAAAGGAACCGACAGGCAGUUCCAGCUUCUGGUAAAACCUGUAUUUUUAUGGCCGUUAGUGGCCUUUCUUUCAGCUCUGGAUUCAUUCAUUGCCCAUCUGUCCAUCCACAUUCCUGUUUCUGGUUUCCUCAAAUAACAAUGAUGGAAUGAUUAAUCUCUAAA